rnacentral:lncRNA from 1 species
UUUCUGACACUCUCCUAUAUUGUUUUAGUUAUUUAUUCACGUAUCAACAGCCUAUGCUUUUCCAAAUAACAAAGACGGCAUUACAUUUGAGAAGGAGUAUCCUCCUCCAGCGAAUCCGCAUGAAGUUCUAAGCAGUAUAAACUGGCUCAAAGAAGAUGAUUUGACUGAUGCCUUAACAAAGAAGUUAUUAGGCGAUAUUCCCAACACCUACACAUUUUCAAAAGCUCUAUCGGAAUCUUUGGUAUACGAAAAGG